CACUGUCACUCCUACGGGGAGGCAGCAGUGGGGGAAUAUUGCACAAUGGGCGCAAGCCUGAUGCAGCCAUGCCGCGUGUGUGAAGAAGGCCUUCGGGUUGUAAAGCACUUUCAGUCGUGAGGAAGGUGGUGUAGUUAAUAGCUGCAUCAUUUGACGUUAGCGACAGAAGAAAGCACCGGCUAACUCCGUGCCAGCAGCCGCGGUAAUACGGAGGGUGCGAGCGUUAAUCGGAAUUACUGGGCGUAAAGCGCAUGCAGGUGGUUUGUUAAGUCAGAUGUGAAAGACCCGGGGCUCAACCUCGGAAUAGCAUUUGAAACUGGCAGACUAGAGUACUGUAGAGGGGGGUAGGAAUUUCAGGUGUAGCGGUGAAAUGCGUAGAGAUCUGAAGGAAUACCGGUGGCGAAGGCGGCCCCCUGGACAGAUACUGACACUCAGAUGCGAAAGCGUGGGGAGCAAACAGGAUUAGAUACCCUGGUAG
rnacentral:rRNA from 1 species